UACGGGGGGGGCAAGCGUUGUUCGGAAUUACUGGGCGUAAAGGGCUCGUAGGCGGCCAACUAAGUCAGACGUGAAAUCCCCAGGCUCAACCUGGGAACUGCGUCUGAUACUGGAUGGCUUGAAUUCGGGAGAGGGAUGCGGAAUUCCAGGUGUAGCGGUGAAAUGCGUAGAUAUCUGGAGGAAUACCGGUGGCGAAGGCGGCAUCCUGGACCGACAUUGACGCUGAUGAGCGAAAGCUAGGGGAGCAAACGGG
rnacentral:rRNA from 1 species